rnacentral:rRNA from 1 species
GAUGAACGCUGGCGGCGUGCCUAAUACAUGCGAGUCGAGCGAACGGACGAGAAGCUUGCUUCUCUGAUGUUAGCGGCGGACGGGUGAGUAACACGUGGGUAACCUACCUAUAAGACUGGGAUAACUUCGGGAAACCGGAGCUAAUACCGGAUAAUAGUUUGAACCGCAUGGUUCAAAAGUGAAAGGCGUUCUUGCUGUCACUUAUAGAUGGAUCCGCGCUGCAUUAGCUAGUUGGUAGGGUAACGGCUUACCAAGGCAACGAUGCAUAGCCGACCUGAGAGGGUGAUCGGCCACACUGGAACUGAGACACGGUCCAGACUCCUACGGGAGGCAGCAGUAGGGAAUCUUGCGCAAUGGGCGAAAGCCUGACGGAGCAACGCCGCGUGAGUGAUGAAGGUCUUCGGAUCGUAAAACUCUGUUAUUAGGGAAGAACAUAUGUGUAAGUAACUGUGCACAUCUUGACGGUACCUAAUCAGAAAGCCACGGCUAACUACGUG